AGUGCGAGAGCCAGGAGCGCGGCCACCGCUCAGCGGCUCCCUGCCGUCGCGCUCCCCCCACCCCACCCGCAGCCUCUCCCUGCCCCCCGGUCCCCAGCACGAAACCAGCCCCCUAGUAGCAGCGGCGGCGGCGGAGGGAGAGAGCCCAGCCCCUUUGCAGCUGGCAGGAGGGGCUGCCCGCUCGUAGACACGCAAUUACACCAUCCAUCAGCCGCCCCCAGACAAGCCCCAGCCCCAGCGCUCGUGUGCCAAGCUCCAGAGGCUCAUCAAGUGAACACCAAAAGUGACGAGAGAGUUUUGAUUGGCCCAGUUCCUAUGGCAAAGCAGUAUCUUUUUUUGCUUGUUUUUUUCAGCAUAAUGAAGAAAAGAGAAGCUACAGAAGAAAUGGAUGGAUGGAUAUAAGAACAAGACCACAACCAAAACAUUCAGUCAUGCUCCAGUUUAAUGUAGCCAGAGUUCUCAGGUUUUACACAGACUGAUAGAAUAACAUUCUAUUAUCACAUUUAUUGAAUCAAGACAAAAUAAGUAAAAAUCUAUUGGAUAUUAUAAA